AAAAAAAAAAACCACGUCCAGGCCUGCCCGCWGAUACUGAAGGGCCGCGGKAUAGUGACCAAUGCAAAGGUAGCAUAAUCAUUASUCUUUUAAUUGAAGGCUCGUAUGAAUGGCCGAACGAGAGGUAAGCUGUCUCUGCUAAGAAACUUGAAUUUAACUUUUAAGUGAAAGGGCUUAAAUAAUCUAAGGGGACGAUAAGACCCUAUAAAGCUUUACAUUAAGUUUUUAAAAUUUUAAUUAAGUAAUAAAAUUUUAUUAAAUGCAAUAUGUUUUGUUGGGGCGACAGGAAUAUAAGAAAUUUAACUGUUCUGAAUAAUAAAUCAAAGCUAUUUGAUCUUAAGGACUUUUUAUUAAAGUGUCAGACUAAGUUACUUUAGGGAUAACAGCGUUAUUUUUUUCAAGAGUUCUUAUCGACAAAAAAAUUUGCGACCUCGAUGUUGAAUUAAARAUUCUCUAUAGAGCAGAAAUUAUAGAAGAGAGUCUGUUCGACUUUUAAUUCUUUACAUGAUUUGAGUUCAAACCGGUGUAAACCAGGUUGGUUUCUAUCUYAKGWA
rnacentral:rRNA from 1 species